GUUCUUGAAGAGUCGCAAAAAACAAAUCUAGCUAACCACUUCAGGAGCACUUCAUUCCGAGACAACCGCCCGUUCGAGUGGUUCGUGGUUCCACUCACGCUCACCCGUUACCAGGGUCUGUUAUGAUAGACGUAACUUAAGCCAUAACAUCUUAUCUAACAUUCGGAAGGAAUUGAACGUAAACAAGCAACUAUAGCACCGGUAUGCGCAGGAAUGCAUAAGUCAGCACUAUAACCAAUCUUGUUGAGUUCACGUCUCAAUAUCUCCAAAAUAUGGAUAGUCGACUAUGUACAAUAUCUUGCUAGCAAAACUCGCCAAACUUGGAGUCAGAGCAAACGUGCUGUAUUGGCUUUAAUCCUUUUUAUACUGCGGCUUUUGAGCAUAACUACUCUCAAGCUUUCGUUGGACUGCCGGGUGUUCCCCCGGGGUAGCCACCCUGGGUCCGCUGCUAUUCACGUUAUUUAUUAAUGAUUUGCCUUUUAUUCUACCUACAGAUAAACACCUGAUGUUCGCCGAUGGCCUGAACAUAUUUAUACGGCAAUACGAGAUGACCCUGAUCGCGAAGAACUUCAGCAGCACAUAUGUAAAUAACUUUCACCGCUGGUGCACACGCACCUCAUCAUCUGCAGCUACAACAUUGACGGAAUGACUAUUGAAGCCGUUAAUCUCAUUAGGGAAUCUUGGAAUCAUCCUUGACGCGAAACUAACGUUUAACCUACACGCAGAGGAAAUCCAAUCCCAGCUUCUAGGAUUGGUUCAACAAGUAGUUAGAGAUUUUAGGGACCCAAUAUGUGUAGAGGCUGUGUAUUGCCGUACCAGUCCGUUCAGUGAUUGAAUAUGCGUAGAUUGUUUGGAAACCAUCAUCUCAGCGCUUAUCUGAUCGCAUCGAGUCAAUACAGCGCAGACACACCCGCGCUAUGCUUUUGCGUCUUCUCCCAUGGCAACCAGGCAGUCUAUAUCCAUCCUAACGAAGCACGCUUAAAGCUUCUUGGACGGAACAAAACUCAGUGGCAGGCGUCCGCGUAUAGCGCAGCAAAGCGCAGGUCUCCUAACGGGGAAACAUCGACUGUCCAUCCCUACUCCAACGGCUGGACAUUUAUGCUCCGACGACCCCUCUACGCUCGCGACCUCUGCUUAAUGUCCCUCGUCGCCGUACGAAUUAUGCCUAAGGAGAGCCCAUCAUUUAUAUCACUAAAGUCUUUUAAAGACCGCAUUUGCGCGAUAUAGUCCAGUACAAGUCCCCACAAGUGGUACAGGCAGGCCUUGGCCGACAACGGUUGUUAAGCCAA